GAUGAACGCUGGCGGCGUGCCUAAUACAUGCAAGUCGAGCGAAUGGAUUAAGAGCUUGCUCUUAUGAAGUUAGCGGCGGACGGGUGAGUAACACGUGGGUAACCUGCCCAUAAGACUGGGAUAACUCCGGGAAACCGGGGCUAAUACCGGAUACCAUUUUGAACCGCAUGGUUCGAAACUGAAAGGCGGCUACGGCUGUAACUUAUGGAUGGACCCGCGUCGCAUUAGCGAGUUGGUGAGGUAACGGCUCACCAAGGCAACGAUGCGUAGCCGGCCUGAGAGGGUGAUCGGCCACACUGGGACUGAGACACGGCCCAGACUCCUACGGGAGGCAGCAGUAGGGAAUCUUCCGCAAUGGACGAAAGUCUGACGGAGCAACGCCGCGUGAGUGAUGAAGGCUUUCGGGUCGUAAAACUCUGUUGUUAGGGAAGAACAAGUGCUAGUUGAAUAAGCUGGCACCUUGACGUUACCUAACCAGAAAGCCACGGCUAACUACGUGCCAGCCGCCGCGGUAA
rnacentral:rRNA from 1 species